rnacentral:rRNA from 1 species
GACAGAGGAUGCAAGCGUUAUCCGGAAUGAUUGGGCGUAAAGCGUCUGUAGGUGGCUUUUUAAGUCCGCCGUCAAAUCCCAGGGCUCAACCCUGGACAGGCGGUGGAAACUACCAAGCUGGAGUACGGUAGGGGCAGAGGGAAUUUCCGGUGGAGCGGUGAAAUGCGUAGAGAUGCGGAGGAACACCGAUGGCGAAGGCAGCCCCCUGGGCUGACACUGACGCUCAGGCACGAAAGCGUGGGGAGCAAACAGG